rnacentral:rRNA from 1 species
GAAAUGCGAUAAGUAAUGUGAAUUGCAGAAUUCAGUGAAUCAUCGAAUCUUUGAACGCACCUUGCGCUCCUUGGUAUUCCGAGGAGCAUGCCUGUUUGAGUGUCAGUAGAUUAUCAACCCUUCAAUCCUGUUUUAAUAGGACAUAAAGGUGUUGGAUUUUGGGAGUGGUUAUAUUGCAGGCUGAUAUUGUAUAUUACUUAGUAUGCAAUGGGUUUGCUCUCCUAAAAUGUAUUUAGCAGAACUUUAAUGGUUGAUUUGGCUAUUAUUGUUUAUCUUUAAUAUGGUGUGAUAAGUAUCUACACUAUAUUGAAUAAAUAAGUCAUAUAUAUGUUAAAGUUCAGCAAUUGAUGUUUAUAUAUAAUAUACAUUUGACAAUUUGACCUCAAAUCAGGUAGGAUUACCCGCUGAACUUAA